AGUCGCAAAUCUGAAUCAAGUCAGCAGACCAUCAGACAUGGAGAUGAGAGAAAUGCAGCCAAUUUGAACGUUGAGGGUGUGAAAACUUCAGGAAGUUGCUAGAAGAUCUGAGAUAUCUACAGAAAGGAAACAAGCAUAACUCACUGCUACCAAGAGGUGAAGGAAGUGAAUCUAUCCUUUGCUGUCAAAGGCUACAAGCAGUUUCAGAAGAAUAAAGCAAGAUACAUAACCAAAGCGUCUGAGGUUACAGAAAUAUUCACUUGUUCCAAUCAAGACUAAGGAAACCACCUAUACCUACUAGAUUUUGAACAGUACAGCUGAUUGUAUGGAGAG
rnacentral:lncRNA from 1 species